GACAGAGGCCUCAAGCGUUAGGCGGAAUCACUGGGCUUAAAGCGUGUGUAGGCGGAUCGUUAAGUGCCUUGUGAAAUCCCACGGCUUAACUGUGGAACGGCUGGGCAUACUGGCGGUCUUGAGCCAUCUAGGGGCGACUGGAACAAACGGUGGAGCGGUGAAAUGCGUAGAUAUCGUUUGGAACGCCAAUGGUGAAAACAGGUCGCUGGGGAGGAGCUGACGCUGAGACACGAAAGCCAGGGGAGCAAACGGG
rnacentral:rRNA from 1 species